UGAACCUAUUGACCCAAUGGGUAAGUUGGGUCAACCCAAAACAAUCUGAGGCAUGAGAGAGGUCGGGACUCGGGAGCCUGCAUGGUGGCGAGCGACCUGGCGGCGGUGGCGACCGUAGUGGUGGCGGCUCGGCGCGCCUCGCUGGCCUCCGGCGGCGACGGAUCCGCGCACCGCUCUCCCUUCCAGCGGCUGUCCCGUCAGGUAAAGUUCUCCCAUCUCUGUUCUUCUCCUGUAGUUGUCCUAGGGUUUGUUCGUCAGGUAAGCUUUGAUCUGGCUUGACGGCUUGCUUCCUCGUCGUCGCUGCACUCAUGCGCCCGGCUGGUCACGGAUGCUGGCAGCUGGGAACCGGCCGUGCCGGGGUGCAGUGGCCCGGCCGGCGACACACUGCCCUUGUCCUCGCUCGACAUGGUGCCCCCUUUUCCUGUGCCCUCUCUAUUCCGCCGGCUUCUUGUGAUGUCUGUCAGAUCAGAGCUUUUCCUCGCUUGUAAAUUGCGGCUGCUAUGCAUCACGAUGGCUAAGUAGGGUCUCUGUUCUUUUUUUUUUGCUUCUGAAAUACAGCUGAUUAUUAAAUUCCCAAUUCAGUUACAAUUGAGGCUGCUAAUCUAUUGGAUGCUGACUGAAUUUUUGUCAGUGUGCAAAGUUGUAGGCUGUACUCAAAACGAUGCUCUUCCCCUUGUAGAGCUCAAUUCUUUCAUUGCUUUUGUACCCUUUGUGUAUUAUGGAUCUACUGGUGCUUGAAGUUGCCAUUUCUUGAGAAAAGAUAUAUCAUUCUCAGUUGUCUAGUUGUGAAGAGCAUUCAGCUCCACACAUUGACAGGCGUACUUAAUCAUCAUAUUUCUAUUCAUUAGCUAAUGUGUAGGUUACUUCAGCAAAUUAGAUAGCAGGUUCAUGGUGGUUUUUCUAAUGUACUAAUGAACAUGUAGGUGAGGAGGCUAUAGAGGCAAGCCCCUGAUCUAGAACAAAUUCAGUUGUUGGGGAUUCAAUUGUUGGCUUGGGCUAGUUGCUUGUUAUGGCACAAAUUCAGUUUGUAUUUGAGCUGCAGAUUCAAUCGCUUGUGAUCUGGAACAAAUUCAGUUGCUGGGGAUUCAAUUGUUGGCUGGGGCUAGUUGCUUGCUGUGGCACAAAUUCAGUUUGUAUUUAAGCUGCAGAUUCAAUCGCUUGCUAUUAGAUACUUGUAAUAAUCAUAAUUUUAUUAUGUGUCAUUUACAUCUUCAUUGGGUAA